ensembl:lincRNA
CUCUCUUCUACUAGGGAAAUACAGAAACAACAUGUCUAAAGCGGAGAAAUUCCUAUGUGACAUACACAGAGAGACAAGCAGAUGAAAUCUGGGAGGAAAUUAAGAGUUUAUUCUAAAUAAGAAAAAAAAGAAAGGUAAGUUUCUGCAGUGGUGCACCUUAUAAAAUCCAAGUGAGCAAGAAAAACACAGGGCUCAUAAUUAACGACUAGAAAAGCUCUAGUAAAAUCAGGGGAGACUUUGAGAUUCUAGACUUCAUUAGCAGUUAAAGGAGAAAAAAAUUCCCAUGGCCGGAAGGUUAGAAGUUAAUUAGAAGAAGUGCUAAGGGAUUUGUUGUCUCACAGAGAGGCUUAUGAGGUAGUUUUAGGCUCUUUAUUGCCACCAUAAACGUCUCAUAUUAGUGAGCUCCCAGGAAGCAGAGAGCAAAUUCCCGAGGUUAUUUGGAACAGGCAGGUCUUGUGCGUCCAACACUCAGGGGUCCCCUACCCUGCCCAGUAAUGGGUGCUUUGGGACUUUUUGUCCAUUUGUUCUCAAACUAAACUUUAUCUUGAAUUAAAUAGAUACAGUUGGCUGGAGCACCAAGAACAGUUAAUAAUUCAAUUUAGAUGCAUACGCAGAUAACAGUGAACAAAGGAGAGGAGGACUGGAGGGGAGCAAAGGAAAUACAGCAGGAGCUAGUUCAUCUGGAAGAAUCAAGCGAUUUAAGAAAACAAGCAGACUUACUGCAUGCAAUUCAGGAACUGGGGGCAUUUUUCAUUUUUGUUUUCUCUGUUAUUUAUUUUCUUCACCUCAGGUUUCUGAAAACCAGAAACAGAUGGACUAAUCCAAGCUCCUCAGAACAGACGGCUUAUCAAACUCCCUGCCUUGAGGACCAGGGGCUCCCCUGCAGAGUGCAGGGUCCACGCAAUAAUUCACUCCAACUCUUCCACAUCAGGAAGAACACUCACAGAACUUUCAACAAUUAGCCUUUCCUUGGCCCCAUUAUCAACAACUGUGGGAAAGAUAUGUCCUUAUCUGACCCUGGAGGACGCAAGCCACCUAAGUGCCAGACACCAGACAUUGUUGCAGGGAGCAACCCUCACAAACAUAUGCAAAGAUGAACAGAGGAGGUGGAAAUGGGUGGUCUUGAUCAAUGCAUGCCUUGGCAUCCGGAGUUUGGUGAAAAAUGAGAAAUAAAGAUGCAUGUUGGAUGGAAGUACAGUGCAGAGUCAAAUAAAAUUGCCACCUCCUGCUUUACCUCAAUGACCCCAGUUGGUGCCUGUUCUUUCCCUCCUUUACCAUCAAAACACAACUACAGCAAAGCUGUUUUUACACAAAGGAAUAAUGCCUAAUAAAUAAAAUCCUAUUACUUCCCCUUACAUGACAGCAUCUUUUUGUUUUUUCUGUUUGUUUGUUUCUUGAGACAGGGUCUUGUUCUGUCCCUCAGGCUGGAGUGCAGUGGCACAAUCAUAGCUCACUGUCACCUUAAACUCCUGGGCUCAAGUAAACCUCCUGUCUCAGCCUUCCAAGUAGCUAGGACUACAGGACUAAAAAUUAGCCAGCUACAUGCCACCGUGCUUAGUUAAUUUUUUAAUAUUUUUGUAGAGACGGGGGUCUCGCUAUGUUGCCCCAGGCUGGUCUGGAAUUCC